UACAUAGGGGCUAGCGUUAUCCGGAAUUACUGGGCGUAAAGGGUGCGUAGGUGGUUUCUUAAGUCAGAGGUGAAAGGCUACGGCUCAACCGUAGUAAGCCUUUGAAACUGGGAAACUUGAGUGCAGGAGAGGAGAGUGGAAUUCCUAGUGUAGCGGUGAAAUGCGUAGAUAUUAGGAGGAACACCAGUUGCGAAGGCGGCUCUCUGGACUGUAACUGACACUGAGGCACGAAAGCGUGGGGAGCAAACAGGAUUAGAUACCCGCGUAGUCCCUGAG
rnacentral:rRNA from 1 species